rnacentral:rRNA from 1 species
UACGGAGGGGGCUAGCGUUGUUCGGAAUUACUGGGCGUAAAGCGCACGUAGGCGGCUUUGUAAGUUAGAGGUGAAAGCCCAGGGCUUAACCCUGGAAUUGCCUUUAAGACUGCAUCGCUAGAAUCGUGGAGAGGUAAGUGGAAUUCCGAGUGUAGAGGUGAAAUUCGUAGAGAUCGGAAGGAACACCAGUGGCGAAGGCG